rnacentral:rRNA from 1 species
UGCGGUUAAAGCUCGUAGUUGGAUUUUGGUUAAGAGGGCGCGGUCGGCCGUUUGGUCUGUACUGCGUUGUCUUGACUUCCUGAUGAGGACAUGCUCUUGGUUAACGCUGAGACAUGGAGUCAUCGUGGUUACUUUGAAAAAAUUAGAGUGUUCAAAGCGGGCUUACGCUUGAAUAUAUUAGCAUGGAAUAACACUAUAGGACUCCUGUCCUAUCUCGUUGGUCUCGGGAUGGGAGUAAUGAUUAAGAGGAACAGUUGGGGGCAUUCGUAUUUCAUUGUCAGAGGUGAAAUUCUUGGAUUUAUGAAAGACGAACUUCUGCGAAAGCAUUUGCCAAGGAUGUUUUCAUUAAUCAAGAACGAAAGUUGGGGGCUCGAAGAUGAUUAGAUACCAUCCUAGUCUCAACCAUAAACGAUGCCGACUAGGGAUUGGUGGAUGUUAAUUGAUGACUUCACCAGCACCUUAUGAGAAAUCAAAGUUUUUGGGUUCCGGGGGGAGUAUGGUCGCAAGGCUGAAACUUAAAGGAAUUGACGGAAGGGCACCACCAGGCGUGGAGCCUGCGGCUUAAUUUGACUCAACACGGGGAAACUUACCAGGUCCAGACAUAAGUAUGAUUGACAGAUUGA